GCACGAGUGGCAGAGUAGCUAUGCAACGGAUUGCAGAUCCGUGAACCCGGGUGCAAAUCCCGGCUUGUGCUCCA
rnacentral:tRNA from 2 species